rnacentral:ncRNA from 2 species
GCCACCGUAACGGGAGAACUGGGACCACCCAGUGCCGAAGGAGCAACCGCCCCGGAAACUCUCAGGCAAAUGGACCGUUGCGGGACC